rnacentral:rRNA from 1 species
UACGGAGGGUGCAAGCGUUAUCCGGAUUCACUGGGUUUAAAGGGUGCGUAGGUGGGUUGGUAAGUCAGUGGUGAAAUCCCCGAGCUUAACUUGGGAACUGCCAUUGAUACUAUCAGUCUUGAAUACCGUGGAGGUCAGCGGAAUAUGUCAUGUAGCGGUGAAAUGCUUAGAUAUGACAUAGAACACCAAUUGCGAAGGCAGCUGGCUACACGAAUAUUGACACUGAGGCACGAAAGCGUGGUGAUCAAACAGG